rnacentral:lncRNA from 1 species
GUUCAAAUCCAGUCUCUGCUACAAGCGUUACCAGUGAAUCUACCAUCUUGUCUUUCACAAGCAACUAAAUAGAUGGCAGUUGAAGAACUGAGCAUUUAUCCAAUGUCUAUAUGUUAAAGAGAUAUCCUUCUUAUUUAGGAAGGACAAGAGAGCAGAACAUGCAGCAUUAUCAAGGAAAAAUAUUCAAGUAAACAAUCAAAAUGAAUUGAAUUGAGUAGGUAAAGAAUUUUCUUAUAUCCAUAGAGAUUCUUGAAGACUCAUAUCCUUAGUUAUAGAGGAAUUGAAAUCUCUGUUGUUGGAAGGAAAAAAAAAUCUACAGUAACAAAAUGAUGGAUCCUUGAAGUAUUUGCUAUAACUGCAAUAAGAUCAACUGAAAUCCAUUUGGGACUUCCCAGGAAGGCCAUAGGAAGCCUAGAUUAGUCCCUCCUCUUGCUGGUGCCUUCUCUACAAUGUACAUAAUAAAUAUCUUCUAUAAACCCA